UACAGAGGGUGCGAGCGUUGUCCGGAAUCACUGGGCGUAAAGGGCGCGUAGGUGGCGCUGCAAGUCGGUGGUGAAAGCUCGUCGCUUAACGACGAGUCGGCCAUCGAAACUGCAGGGCUCGAGCACUGUAGGGGCUAAUGGAAUUCCGGGUGUAGCGGUGGAAUGCGUAGAGAUCCGGAAGAACACCAGUGGCGAAGGCGGUUAGCUGGGCAGUUUCUGACACUGAUGCGCGACAGCGUGGGGAGCAAACAGG
rnacentral:rRNA from 1 species